AGAGUUUGAUCCUGGCUCAGGAUGAACGCUGGCGGCGUGCCUAACACAUGCAAGUCGAGCGAUCUUCUUCGGAAGAGAGCGGCGGACGGGUGAGUAACGCGUGGGUAACCUGCCCUGUACACACGGAUAACAUACCGAAAGGUAUGCUAAUACGAGAUAACAUACUUUUAUCGCAUGGUAGAAGUAUCAAAGCUCCGGCGGUACAGGAUGGACCCGCGUCUGAUUAGCUAGUUGGUAAGGUAACGGCUUACCAAGGCGACGAUCAGUAGCCGACCUGAGAGGGUGAUCGGCCACAUUGGAACUGAGACACGGUCCAAACUCCUACGGGAGGCAGCAGUGGGGAAUAUUGCACAAUGGGCGAAAGCCUGAUGCAGCAACGCCGCGUGAGCGAUGAAGGCCUUCGGGUCGUAAAGCUCUGUCCUCAAGGAAGAUAAUGACGGUACUUGAGGAGGAAGCCCCGGCUAACUACGUGCCAGCAGCCGCGGUAAU
rnacentral:rRNA from 1 species